AGGAUUCGAGUUUCGAAGCACUCCUAUCUAGUGCUAAAUCUUUGGGUAUAUUCCAUCCUUCAAAUUUCCUUUUAUUGCCUCUUCCAUAUCAAUUUUGGUCUUCCUCUAUCUCUCUUUACAUUAUUGUCAAGCCUUAGGGUUCCACUACACACCGGUACCUCCGGAGGUCUUCGUUUGGACAUGUUUAAACCAUCUUAGCCGAUGUUGGAUAAGCUUUUCUUCAACAAAAUUAGUACAAAACAUCAAGUAGCCUACACAUUCCAUUUUUCUAAUCAGAGCAUGAUACAUAUUCCAUUUUCACAUUUCAUCUGCACAUUCAAUUUCAAAUAAAGCACACUACACAUUCCAUUUCCC
rnacentral:lncRNA from 1 species